UACGAAGGGGGCUAGCGUUGCUCGGAAUCACUGGGCGUAAAGCGCACGUAGGCGGCUUACUAAGUCAGGGGUGAAAUCCUGGAGCUCAACUCCAGAACUGCCUUUGAUACUGGUGAGCUUGAGUCCGGAAGAGGUGAGUGGAACUGCGAGUGUAGAGGUGAAAUUCGUAGAUAUUAGGAAGAACACCGGUGGCGAAGGCGGCUUCCUGGCCCAUUACUGACGUUCAGGUACGAAAGCGUGGGUAGCAAACAGG
rnacentral:rRNA from 1 species